AUUGAACCUUUUUAUCUUCUGAUUUCAUUACUCUGUAUUAUAUAUAUAUAUAUAUAUAAAAGUUAGUCCAUAAAGGACAAUGGCAGUCUCAGUGUUCCUGCACUCAACAUGCUGCCACCAACAACGUCCCCUUAAGACAGCAGCAUAAUCAGGAUUUUCCACUUGAGUCUGGACCGACUGGUUGAACGACAUGUUGAUGACUGGGAGGCUCUGAAUUCCUCUGGAGGAGUUUUUCUCACCAUCUUUACUUUCACUUCUGUCUUUGACCGAUGACAACCGACAGAACUUCAACUCAACUAAAGGUUGUUAAAGCAGCAGUUGGUCUUCAGUUGAAUGAGUCUCUGAU
rnacentral:lncRNA from 15 species